UUAUAAUUAUGGCUUGAUCCUUGCAGAGGCUUUAAUGAUGCUAUUAACGGAUUCAAUGAUGACGGGUGGUCAAUAUUAAAUUGUGAUGGUGCUGACGAUGUAGUAGUUGCCAUUAAUUCAGCCAAGAAUCUAACUGCUGCAACUCUUCUCUGUGUAAAAGCAUCUAUGCUGCUUCAGGUUCCCUUGUUUUUUUAUCCCCUGGAAUUAUGCUGAUUUGCUUUUUGAGGGAGCAUCGAUCAGAGUGGGCGGACUUCAAUGUUGAUGCCUAUGCUGCCAUGUCAUUGAAGUCACGUACAUGCUCAUAUCCUAAAGUGAGGCCGACGAGAUUCACCGGAACCCAAAUAAUCAUGCCUUUGGGUCAAACGAUUGAACAUGAAGAGGUACAUGUCUUCUUUUUUUUUGUAAGUUUUAUGCUAUCCAGCAUCAGAUGGCUUCGUUUUAAACAUGAUUUUGCAUAGAAGAUCAAUUCCCAAUUUGUGGAUCUGAAUCUUGUGAAACAUUUCCAAGUAAUAAAUACACUGUCAAGCAUUAUUGUAUCUACCCGAACUUUGUACUAAUUUUCCCUUUUUUUGUUCCCCAGUAAUAUUUUCAUGAAGAAUUGUAAUGAAAGAGCUUGAUGAAUAUUUUAUUUGCUUAGUCAUCUGAAUAUUUUCCCUUUGGGUCAAACGAUUGAACAUGAAGAGGUACAUGUCUUCUUUUUUUUUGUAAGUUUUAUGCUAUCCAGCAUCAGAUGGCUUCGUUUUAAACAUGAUUUUGCAUAGAAGAUCAAUUCCCAAUUUGUGGAUCUGAAUCUUGUGAAACAUUUCCAAGUAAUAAAUACACUGUCAAGCAUUAUUGUAUCUACCCGAACUUUGUACUAAUUUUCCCUUUUUUUGUUCCCCAGUAAUAUUUUCAUGAAGAAUUGUAAUGAAAGAGCUUGAUGAAUAUUUUAUUUGCUUAGUCAUCUGAAUAUUUUCCCUUUGGGUCAAACGAUUGAACAUGAAGAGGUACAUGUCUUCUUUUUUUUUGUAAGUUUUAUGCUAUCCAGCAUCAGAUGGCUUCGUUUUAAACAUGAUUUUGCAUAGAAGAUCAAUUCCCAAUUUGUGGAUCUGAAUCUUGUGAAACAUUUCCAAGUAAUAAAUACACUGUCAAGCAUUAUUGUAUCUACCCGAACUUUGUACUAAUUUUCCCUUUUUUUGUUCCCCAGUAAUAUUUUCAUGAAGAAUUGUAAUGAAAGAGCUUGAUGAAUAUUUUAUUUGCUUAGUCAUCUGAAUAUGAUGUGUAUUCACCUCAUAUUCUCAUAAUUGUUUUGGUUCUUCGGUAUCCCUGAUGCUUGAAGUUGUUCGUUUGGAAGGCCACUCGCUUACUCACGAGGAUGCUUUUUCAUCCAGGGACGUUCAUCUUGCUCAUAUAAAUGGAUCUCGACUUAUCCCCAGAAUAUGUGAUUUGAAAAUUUUGAAUGCAUCUUUAUGUCACAGAUGUGCAGUGGGGUUGAUGAGAAUUCUGUGGGAGCCUGCUCGGAGCUUAUUUUUGCACCCAUUGACGAGCUGUUUCCAGAUGAUGCACCGCUGCUGCCUUCUGGUUUCCGCAUAAUCCCACUUGAUUCAAAAUCAGGCGACUCACUUGAUUUAUUGGCCUCACACAAGACAUUAGAUUUGACAUCGAGCCUCGAAGUUGGCCCAACAGCCAGCCAUGGUGCAGAAAAUGCAGUGUCAUCUUACAAUGCACGAUCAGUGUUGACUAUUGCUUUCCAGUUCCAGUUCCAGUUCCAGUUCCAGUUCGAGAGCAAUUCACACGACAAUGGCUCGUCAGUAUGUCCGUAGCGUGAUCUCCUCGGUACAGAGGGUUGCCACAGCCAUUUCUCCGUCGGGGUUGAGCCCAACAGCUGGGCCAAAGGUGUCUCUGGUCUCUCCUGAAGCUCAAACGCUCACACAUUGGAUAUGCCAGAGCUGUAGGUACUGCUAAUAUAGAAUUCCACACCAUCACCACAUUAGGUUCGGGAACACCAAAAUGGAUUGAUUACAUGGAACGGGAGAAACGAAGAAGAGAAAUACUAAUACAGUACUUGAACACAAAAAUUGUCUGUAAUCAAAGGAUAUUGUUACUUUCAUCCCGAUGCCACUGACCAAAAAUCCAACUGAGGAAGGCCAUAGCUGUAGCAGUUUCAAAUUCUGUGCAAUGAUUCCACAGGAGCCCAGAUCUUUCCCAAUCAGAACAGUAAUGCCUGCUGAUGCACAGGCUGCAGCAAAAGUUAAAUUAGAAGAAAGUGGUUUUAAUUUAAUAAACACAAUUCUGCUUCUUAGUUCAUAAACCAACAAUGCGUUUUUGUGAAGUGGUGUACUGCAGUAAAAUUGAACAUGGCACAGAGAGCCAAUGUUACGAGAA